AGAGUUUUUUUUCCCGCCCAUACUUGCGGAUCAUCAUUUGGGUCAUCCGUGGAUUAUCCUACCCGUUUCUCUGUUUGGAGUUAACCCAGUUUGUUAAUUACAAAUUGUUGCCAAACCCUAAAGCCAACGUUUCAAUUGCUUCUGUUGCUAAUGAUUCGAUCAACUGGGUUAACGAUUCGUGUGCGUGAUUAAUCCACACAUUCUUCGUUAGUUUUUCUUUUUUUAGUUCGUGUUUUCUUUGAUUUGUUUUAUAUCAGAUACAAAACUGAAGAUGUAAAUUGGAAGGAGAAGUGUAUUUUCGGUGUGUUUUAUACUUUCCUUGCUUUUGAAAUACUUGACACGUCCUCCUUCUACACUCAAUCGCCAGUUGUUUAUAGCCCUUUUCUCAAACUUGAACCCUAAUUCAAACAAGAAUCAAGUCAUACUAUCAAGAAGAUGAUGAAAUGGAAGAUAUAUAUGAUGAUAAUAUGGAUUAUGAGAUUUGGGUCAGAGGUAUUGGUUCAGACACGCUGAUUGUGAAGAGUAUGAUUUCAUGGUUUGUUGCAAUGCACUUACAACUUAUACACAAAAUAUUCAACUAAUGUUACAUUAGAACGUGUUGUUUUUAAUAUAUUUAUUAUUAGAUUGA